UACGUAGGGUGCAAGCGUUGUCCGGAAUUAUUGGGCGUAAAGAGCUCGUAGGCGGUCUGUCACGUCGGCUGUGAAAAUCCAGGGCUCAACCCUGGACCUGCAGUCGAUACGGGCAGACUAGAGUCCGGCAGGGGAGACUGGAAUUCCUGGUGUAGCGGUGAAAUGCGCAGAUAUCAGGAGGAACACCGGUGGCGAAGGCGGGUCUCUGGGCCGGAACUGACGCUGAGGAGCGAAAGCGUGGGGAGCGAACAGG
rnacentral:rRNA from 1 species